AUCGCUUCUUGGCCUUUUGGCUAAGAUCAAGUGAAGUAUCUGUUCUUAUCAGUUUAAUAUCUGAUACGUCCUCUAUCCAAGGACAAUAUAUUAAAUGGAUUUUUGGAGCCGGGAGAUGGAAUAGGGGCUUGCUCCCGUCCACUCCGCGCAUCGACCCGGUAUUGCAGUACUUCCGGGAAUGGUGCACCUCCC
ensembl:snRNA U2 U2 spliceosomal RNA